rnacentral:rRNA from 1 species
ACGGGGGGCAGCAGUGAGGAAUAUUGGUCAAUGGGCGGAAGCCUGAACCAGCCAAGUCGCGUGAGGGAAUAAGGCCCUACGGGUCGUAAACCUCUUUUGCCGGGGAGCAAGGGCGGGGACGUGUCCCGGCCCGGAGAGUACCCGGAGAAAAAGCAUCGGCUAACUCCGUGCCAGCAGCCGCGGUAAUACGGAGGAUGCGAGCGUUAUCCGGAUUUAUUGGGUUUAAAGGGUGCGCAGGCGGCGUGUCAAGUCAGCGGUAAAAUGUCGGGGCUCAACCCCGGCCGGCCGUUGAACCUGGCGUACUC